AACGUCGAACGAUGAAAUGCUUUUAGGUUAGAAUAUCCGUGAAAAUAUUUUACGUGCAAUAGGUAUUGUAGCUAUGCGUGUUUCUGAAUUUCAACGUUUCUGGAUGUAUCCAGAAAUUCACCGGAAUUUGAAUCCGUUGAUCUAUUCAAUGGAAUGUACAGCGAUCACCAACUUCUAGGCAGACUUGCGUAGAGGAAUUUAGGGGUCGUUUACCGUUUGCCAGCACCUCCGCCACAUAAAAGCGUUACUAUAGGCGCAGAAGUAAUCGGAGGAGUCGCGUGGUGGUGGAUUCUUUGGCAUCUAUGGCACGACUACGAACACAUUACCGGGGAAUUCGAUUA
rnacentral:sRNA from 1 species